GUUAUUGUAUACUAUAAUUAUAAUAACACUGGGUAUAAAAUAGAUUUGGAUCUUGUAUAUUUUUAUGGUUUCCACGAAUGUUUGUGUUUUAGACAAUAAGAUGCGCUGAUGAAUCGAGGCUGCAAGAUUACACUGUAUUGGAUAAAAAUGUUUGAUUAUUUGAUGUAAAAGUCUAGGAGUCAGGUCUUAAUAAGUUCUCUAGUUUAAAGUCUAGGCUAUACUCUGCUCUAGUGCUAAGUUCUUUUAUACGACGUCCAAAAAUAAUGCAAUAUGAUCGACUACAAACUGUAUAUUAAACUAUAACAUGAUAUUAAAGUGAAAUUUCGUUCGUUUUAUUUAUUGUUGUUUAGUUCAUGUUUGAUAAUGAUAAUAAAAAAGCUACCGACAACUUAUUCAGAUGAAACAACGUUAAAAACCGGGUGAAAUGAAGUUAAUUUCACAAUUUUUAAUAUUUGUUUUUAUUACAGCGUUGUUGCUAUGCAGGUUGCUAAGACAUAGAGCGAUGUUAAGUUAAGAUUGACUACCGCUGACCGUGUAGUGCAGGAAAUUGCUUACCAGGCCCCGCAUCACACGUCGAUCAGCGAAAUCACUGGCGUUGCGCCGCCCUAUAUAUAAGCGCCCUG